rnacentral:rRNA from 1 species
AACGAACGCUGGCGGCAGGCUUAACACAUGCAAGUCGAGCGCCCCGCAAGGGGAGCGGCAGACGGGUGAGUAACGCGUGGGAAUCUACCCUUUUCUACGGAAUAACGCAGGGAAACUUGUGCUAAUACCGUAUGUGCCCUUCGGGGGAAAGAUUUAUCGGGAAAGGAUGAGCCCGCGUUGGAUUAGUUAGUUGGUGGGGUAAAGGCCUACCAAGGCGACGAUACAUAGCUGGUCUGAGAGGAUGAUCAGCCACAUUGGGACUGAGACACGGCCCAAACUCCUACGGGAGGCAGCAGUGGUGAAUAUUGGACAAUGGGCGCAAGCCUGAUCCAGCCAUGCCGCGUGAGUGAUGAAGGCCCUAGGGUUGUAAAGCUCUUUCACCGGUGAAGAUAAUGACGGUAACCGGAGAAGAAGCCCCGGCUAACUUCGUGCCAGCCGCCGCGGUAAAAC